UGGGUUACAUAUUUGGAUUUACAAAUUUAAUGUUAAAUCUGUUUCAUAAUAGUGUAAAAACAUUUUGGCUCCAUUAUUUAGAUUUUGUUUCCAUUUUUUGCCUCCUUUAUUUGGGCCAAAUAUUACUAAAGUAUCUUAUCUCUUUUUUCACAGCUAAGCAAAAAAACCCCGAGUUCUUUCUCCGAUCCCUCUCACAAACUCAUCGUCUCUUCGUCUCAAUCUCUCCUCCGCCAUGUUUACCGGUCAGUUUCUUCAUGGCUUCCACUAGACAAACCUCUAACCGUCGUCGUCCACGGCCAGCUGAGUUAAAUCUCUUGGGCUGGAAGAGGAGAAGAGAGCUCGGAGGCAGUGUCUGCGAGUGAUGAGAUGUUGUUGUAUAGAGGUUUUGAGAAGCCGAAAGAGAGAGACUGCACAGCUAAGAAGUGUAUCAGUAAAAUGAGCCAGAGCUGUCUUUAUGGCUGCGUUUUUGCACUCUUAUUUCAAGUUCGAGGGAACUUCGUGAAGCCUCUGAAGAAACAAGAGGAAAUGUGGGAGACAAACAUGACUCACAAAAUUAAGCUAUGGUAUCUGACCUUUGUGGGUUCUUCCUUAAGGUACCAAUGUUUAUGGAUUUGUUACUUUUACUUGAAAAUGUAUUAUCUUGAUUCAUUGCUAUUACAUUAUAAUGUUUGACCUCUGUUGUGUUGAGGCAGUUGUCAAGGGUUUUGAUUAUUAUAAGAGUUCAGCAUUUGGGGUUCUUAUGAUUUUUUAGCAGAGAGCAAAUAUAUUUUUUUUUGUCGAAUGGUUCAUUUGUUUAGUUGACUGAGUUUUGCUCUUCUCUUUUCAUUUUCUUCAAUAUGUUGGACAAAUUCUAGGCAAACUUGACAUGGCUCCAUCUGCAUGGGUGCGACUCAUCGACACUUCAUAUGUAUUACACAAAUUUUCAGCUUAAACUUUUGUUAGGUCAACAAAUUUUAGGCGUGUAUGAUGCUUUUUCUAACAUCUGCUUGUAAUACCUAAGGGUUAUGAAUCUGAGAUUUAUUUUUAUAAUAUAUUUUAUGUAUUUAUUUUUUAUAUAGUUCUAUUUUUUAUUGGAAGUUUAUAAAUUAAAUUAGCUACAAAUAACGUUUACUCUAAUAUGUUGAUAUAUUAGCUACAAAUUUGGGAAGAAAUCUGUCACUAGUUUUUGUAGCUAUAUAGUGAUGACAAAUCAGUUGCUAAAGUGUUGCUAAUGAGCAACGGAAUAAGUCGUAGCCAUAACGUUGCUAUUGGCUACAGAAUGUAUUCUUGCUAGUCCGUUCCUAUUUAGAUACAGAAUGGCUACAAAUAAAAUUUAGCGUGGGAGCUGAGGCCAAGGAUUUCAUCUGUAGUCAUCCGUUGCUAAUCUAAUUCUAGCUAGAUUGUAUCCGAUAGCUACAGAAAAUGCGGUAGCUAUUUACACAAGUUCUUGUAGUGUCCGGAAAAGGUGAAAGAGAGUUAGAGAAUGAAGUUGUUGUUGUGGCAAAGCUUGAUCAGCAUAGAAAUUUGGUAAGGAUGCUUGAAUUUUGUUUGGAAGGAGAAGAGAAGAUCCUUGUCUAUGAGUUGGUGUCCAACAAAAGCCUUGAUUACUUCCUUUUUGACUCUGGAAUGACGAGAAUUGCUGGAGUGGACCAAACGGAAGACAAUACGAAAAUAAUAGUAGGAACCUAGUAAACUUUUCUGUUUCAUUUUAUGCCUAUGUAGACAGUAAUAAUAUGUUUUUACUAACUUAACGUUUCAAGUAUUGUGGCAGUGGUUACAAUAUGUCUCCAUAGUAUGUGAUGUAUGGUCAAUUCUCCAUGAAAUCAGAUGUGUAUAGUUUUGGUGUCUUAGUUCUUGAGAUUAAAAGUGGCAAAAAGAACAGCAGUCUCUAUGAAAUGGAUGGUAGCUAGUGCUGGAAAAACAGAACAAGCAAUGGACAUGCAAGUGGACGGACCAGGCUGAAAGCUCUCAGCUAAUGGGAUAUUCUCUGAUCUGACUCUAAAGAAAAACCCAGGAGGUUGGGGCACAGGCAGUGUAAUUGAAGUAUUAGUGAGCAUCUGAAAUAUUGUGAACAUGCUUGGACGAUCUGUUGGUUUUUCUUGAACGCAUAAUAACCCAAUAUGAACGCAUCUGAUGACUUCAUACUUAUCAUAGUUAACUCCUAUGACCGGAUCUACAAGUUCCAUCAAUGAAUCAUUGUUCCAAAGCC